CUACUGAAGUAUUUUGGUCAGCAUCUUCAUUUUCCUCUUCCUGCUCGUAAUCGUCUUCGUCUUGAGGAAGUUCUUCAGCAAUUUUUUUAUCGUUUUUUAAAGGUUUUUGACGUUUUUCUUUUACUUCCUCAUUACCCGAUUGAUGCUUUUUCCGCUUUAACUCGGAUUUAGCCAUCUUGUACAACGAAUGCAGACUACUAAUGAGUUUGGGAAUUUGCAAAAUGCUUGUAUGAAAAAUGGAAAAGUGGAAAACUGCGAA